rnacentral:rRNA from 1 species
GGUCGAACCGUCGGAAUUGAAGCAUCUUAGUACGACGUGGAAGAGAAAUCAAUAGAGAUUACCCAAGUAGUGGCGAACGAAAAGGUAACAGCCCAAACUGAAUCUGUUAUGGUAACUUAACAGAGAUGUGGUGUAUACGGACUCAUAUAAUGAUCCUAGAACAUAGUUGAAAUAAUCUGGAACGUUUUGGCAUAGAGGGUGAUACCCCCGUAAACGAAAUGGUAUAGGAUUAGUUGAGUACCAGAGUAGAUGUCCUUGGUAGUGGGCAUCGAAUAUUAGGAGAAAGUAGCUUCUAAGGCUAAAUAUAACUCAAAACCGAUAGUGCACUAGUACCGUGAGGGAAAGCUGAAAAGUACCCCGGAAGGGGGGUGAAAAGUGCAUGAAAUCUAUUACUUACAGACGUGCAUAGCAUGAAAGGUGAUUUUUCCAGAUUGGAGGUUCUAGCAAUAGAGCUAAAGAUUUGGAGCUCAAAUCGUCAGUGUUACGCGUUCCGUCUCGAAACACGGGCCAAGGAGCUAACUGUCAUGGCAAGACUAAACCAGACAAGGUGGAGUCGAAGGGAAACCGAGUUCUCGCAGCAUUAGCGAGGAGAAGCGUGUGAAAGUGCGUUGAGUCAUGGCGGCCAGGCUAGAAGCCAGUCGAUCUAAUCCUGAGCAAGCUGAAGGCGGGCGAAAGCCCGCUGGAGGGCUGAAGCAGUUCUGACGUGCAAAUCGUU